rnacentral:rRNA from 1 species
CCCUUAGAUGUUCUGGGCCGCACGCGCGCUACACUGAUGCAUUCAACGAGUCUAAAACCUGGUCUGAUAGGGCUGGGUAAUCUUUUGAAAGUGCAUCGUGAUUGGGAUAGAUGAUUGCAAUUCUUCAUCUUCAACGAGGAAUGCCUAGUAAACGCAAGUCAUCAGCUUGCAUUGAUUACGUCCCUACCCUUUGUACACACCGCCCGUCGCUCCUACCGAUUGAAUGAUCCGAUGAAUACCAUGGAUUGAGAGUACGAAUGGGUUCGCUCAUUUCUGCUGCUCGAGAAGUGGAGUAAAUCUUAUCAUUUAGAGGAAGGAGAAGUCGUAACA